UACGUAGGGUGCAAGCGUUAAUCGGAAUUACUGGGCGUAAAGCGUGCGCAGGCGGUUUUGUAAGUCUCUCGUGAAAGCCCCGGGCUCAACCUGGGAAUUGCGAUGGAGACUGCAAGGCUUGAAUCUGGCAGAGGAGGGUAGAAUUCCACGUGUAGCAGUGAAAUGCGUAGAGAUGUGGAGGAACACCGAUGGCGAAGGCAGCCCCCUGGGUCAAGAUUGACGCUCAUGCACGAAAGCGUGGGGAGCAAACAGG
rnacentral:rRNA from 1 species